rnacentral:rRNA from 1 species
UACGGAGGGCGCAAGCGUUGUUCGGAAUCAUUGGGCGUAAAGCGCGUGUAGGCGGCUUGGUAAGUCGGAUGUGAAAUCCCGGGGCCCAACCCCGGAACUGCAUUCGAUACUGCCUCGCUAGAGUCCCGGAGAGGAGAGCGGAAUUCUCGGUGUAGAGGUGAAAUUCGUAGAUAUCGGGAGGAACACCAGCGGCGAAGGCGGCUCUCUGGACGGUGACUGACGCUGAGACGCGAAAGCGUGGGGAGCAAACAGG